CUGGUGGGUGGAGUCUUGUCGCUCCCUCAGGAAAGCUUAGUCAGCCAUCUUGAAUUUACCUUGAUACGGGGAAGUUUUGGCCAGCCCGUGUGGAUUAAGAGUCCCCAACUUCAACCCACCACGACCACCACCUGAUUUUUUUUCAUCAACUGCCCUAAAUUUGGUAAGUCUAACGUGUUUUUGUUUUGUUUAAAUUUAAUUUCGAUAAACAUUCUUUUUUAUUUUUUACUGGAAAUAUAUUCGUACUUUGUGCACAGUGAAUGUUUGUUAUAAAUGAAUUCGAAUCCAAGUAAUUGUAAUUUUAGAAGUUUUCUAAUGUGACAAAUACGUAAUGUUAUUUCAAAUUAGAAUGAUGUAACGUUUUGGCGGUUUUCCGUGGGGGACAACAUUUCCCAUAAUGCAUUGUAUUCUUGCCCUGGAAGUUGACGGUGGCAGUUCUAGCUCCAUGCAUUUGAACUUUCUACUAAAACUUUCCACUGGUUGUCGUAUUCGCCGGUAAUGUACGUGCGUAUUAUAUCAGACUGCAAAGAGCGCUACAGAGAGUCAACAUUUCACCAGUUGUCAGUGGGAACAGCAUGAUGUAAAUACAAGACGGG
ensembl:lncRNA